rnacentral:rRNA from 1 species
GACGUAGGGAGCGAGCGUUGUCCGGAUUUAUUGGGCGUAAAGGGCCAGUAGGCGGCUUGGCAAGUCAGGUGUGAAACCUCCAGGCUCAACCUGGAGACGCCACUUGAUACUGCUAUGGCUUGAGUCCGGUAGGGGAGCAUGGAAUACCCGGUGUAGCGGUGAAAUGCGCAGAUAUCGGGUGGAACACCAGUGGCGAAGGCGGUGCUCUGGGCCGGAACUGACGCUGAAUGGCGAAAGCGUGGGUAGCAAACAGG